GCUAGCUGCGUGAAGUAAUGUGAAUUGCAGACACAUUGAACAUCGACAUUUCGAACGCAUAUUGCGGAAUCGGGUUCUUCCCGGUUCCAGGUUCCCUUGACGGCGUCAUUAAGUGAAAGCUGUACGGCUGCUUUGAGCAUGCUUGGCCGACAUGGCGAUGGCAGUGGUUUGGUUGUGCGGUGUGCCCUUGGAAUCUGGGGCCGUCUCUUCACCACAUAUUCCAUUCACCUGCUACUCGUUGUUAAGUAUGUUCCGCCUCUUGCAGACGUCGCAUUGGACUUGCUGCAGCCCUUGUGCUGUACCAGUCUUGAGUGAAGAUUUGCUGACUGCCUCUGUCAGUACCUCGUAUACGGUGUCGCUACGUUCCUCGAACGCAGGCAGCCGUGCUACCUACAGUUAGCUCUGACAGCUGACGCUUAUCUCGUCUGAACGUGCAAAUGGCUAUGCGCGGCAGAGUGUUGGUGGUAUGUGUUGGUUCCAGAGAAGGAGGCAACACUGCCCGACAUGCCUACACUUUUCUGACGUGUUUGUAAUGUUCCUGCUUCUACGAGAGACAGCUUCAGUGUAGGUGGCAUGGUGGAUAUUGCCGCUGAAAGGACGUGGUGACCCUUUUUAUUUUACGCGUCAAGUGGAGCCUGACUACCCGCUUAAUUUAAGCAUAUUAGUAAGCGGAGGAAAAGAAACUAACAAGGAUUCCCUUAGU
rnacentral:rRNA from 1 species